GCCGAGGUGGUGAAACUGGUAGACGCGCUGGACUCAAAAUCCAGUGGGGUAUCCCCCCGUGCCGGUUCGAUUCCGGCUCUCGGCACCA
rnacentral:tRNA from 1 species